AAUAAAUAUGCACAGAUAUUCUUUCCUUUCUCAGAGGAAAAAGUGUCCCAUUCCAAAAAUCUCCAAAUCUGAACACUCUCUAAUGAAACCUCAGUGAAUGUGGGAACUGAACAGGCACAAUCAAAGUAAAAAAUAGUUGCUUCAGGAUAGAAAUUAAGAAAACCCAUUACACAAGUGAAAAGAAAUACUGGAAAUCUGAUUGAAAUUGUAGGACAGAGAAGUUAUAUUUACAGGCAAUUUGCUGAACUACCUGAGAUGACGUUUGUGACUGUGAUGAUUUCAGCUGACAGCUUGCCUCCGUGGCAUGGCACCAGCAUGCUUUUGGCCAUACUGGUGUUCCAGAGGAAAUAUUCCCCACAGGAAACUUCUCAAACACUUCACUGUCUUCAGAAUUUAACUGUAUGUUUUCCUUUCCCCACAUCAAGCUUUUCUAGAAGAAAAGAUAUGAUGAUGUCUUCCUGGAAACACUGCAGAGACUUAACAGGGACCACUAAGGUGAAAGCAGAGAUCCAAGAUUAAGACUUUUCAGCAGCUGUCUGGAAAGACUUCCUUUCAAGCAAUUACUGUUGCCAGAAAGGUAAAUGACAGCUUCAUUUGUUGCCCAAAAUGUUAAGAAACCAUUAAAUGC
rnacentral:lncRNA from 1 species